rnacentral:miRNA from 3 species
UAGCAGCACGUCAAAACUGGAG